UCUACCAUGCAGUCGACGAUGAUGCCUAGCUUGCUAGGUGGAUUAGUGGCGAACGGGUGAGUAACACGUGAGUAACCUGCCCCUGACUCUGGGAUAAGCCUGAGAAAUUGGGUCUAAUACUGGAUAUGAACAUUUACCGCAUGGUGGGUGUUGGAAAGAUUUUUUGGUUGGGGAUGGACUCGCGGCCUAUCAGCUUGUUGGUGAGGUAGUGGCUCACCAAGGCGACGACGGGUAGCCGGCCUGAGAGGGUGACCGGCCACACUGGGACUGAGACACGGCCCAGACUCCUACGGGAGGCAGCAGUGGGGAAUAUUGCACAAUGGGCGAAAGCCUGAUGCAGCGACGCCGCGUGAGGGAUGACGGCCUUCGGGUUGUAAACCUCUUUCAGUAAGGAAGAAGCGAAAGUGACGGUACUUGCAGAAGAAGCGCCGGCUAACUACGUGCCAGCAGCCGCGGUAAUACGUAGGGCGCGAGCGUUAUCCGGAAUUAUUGGGCGUAAAGAGCUCGUAGGCGGUUUGUCGCGUCUGCCGUGAAAGUCCGGGGCUUAACUCCGGAUCUGCGGUGGGUACGGGCAGGCUAGAGUGCAGUAGGGGAGACUGGAAUUCCUGGUGUAGCGGUGAAAUGCGCAGAUAUCAGGAGGAACACCGAUGGCGAAGGCAGGUCUCUGGGCUGUAACUGACGCUGAGGAGCGAAAGCAUGGGUAGCGAACAGGAUUAGAUACCCUGGUAGUCCAUGCCGUAAACGUUGGGCACUAGGUGU
rnacentral:rRNA from 1 species